CAUAGUAGGUGUUUAAUAAAUGCAUGUUUCCUUUAAAAAUGAAGCCACUUGGAAUUCUGCUCUUAUGACCUCACUUCCUGUUUGUUCUCUCUGCUUUCCUGUCUCUUUCUGACCUCCAUAUAUUUUGCCACAGUCUGAUCACUGGACUCUGACUUCUGAUGGCUACUUUGGGUUAAUAAUCCCACUUCACCUUGCCAUCUAGGCUAAGCAGGUAACCAAGAGCCCAGCUAUGCUCCAGGUGAUCUCAGUCAGUCACUUUGAGGCCAAUUUCAUUUCCUGGCUGGAUUUCCAGGAAGGCUUGAACCUUGGUUUCCACUCACCCUUUGGAAAUGGGGGCAUUUCUAAGGAGGGCUGGUGCUUUAUCCACUGUGCCACCUAGGUGCUCCCUCCCCGCUGUGUAUUUAACACCUUUAACACCAGAUCCCUAGAAAUGGCAGCAGCGGAGAGCAGGAUCCCAGGGAUGAUGACUGGGGAGAGAUACAGAGCAGUGGAGGAGUUCCUGAAGGAAGAAACAGCAGAAGAUUCUAUUCAUGGCCCCGGCCUCCUGGAGAAAGAUGAAGCAACCUCAGAAAGGACCAUGUCAUUGGGGUGAUGUCAUGACUUGCAGUGAAUUGUAUUUAAGUGAGGG